CAACCCGUUCUCAUCAGUCUGCGUAUAAAUAACACGACUUUACACUUUCUAUUUGCGUGUAAUGCAUACGCCAAAUGCCAUUUUUGCGUGCAUAUGAUACGCCAAUCCUUCCCAUUAAUUUCGGUGGAGAGCAGAUGCGUCCAAAUAACACGCAUCAUCUUCAGCGGCAGUGACGUCACCAGCGAGGCUCGUUCAGUUCACCUGAUGCGCGUACACCUUCAAACAGUUACGUCGGAUUACAUACUCCACAACAACCUGUAAUCCAGCAGAUCUUUAAAGAAGCCAUCUCUUGUAAAAUCUCUCUCUCUCUCUCUCUCUCUCUCUCUCUCUCUCUCUCUCUCUCUCUCUCUCUCUCUCGCUCUGCUAGAAUUAACAGGGAACUUCAACUCCACGCUCCCAAUGCUGAUAUUGAAGAAGCUGUCAAGGGGGCUGAACAAGUCCUUCAAAGGAUCAACCCUUCACAGGAAGGCCUGUCAUGAGAUUUGAAUUUGACCAUCUUGUGCAUUUAUGAAGAAGACCAAAAGCUGCAAAGGCAAACACUUCCAAUGGCAGAAACUGAGAGUUUGCAUGAUGGCAUUUUCUCAGACGCUGAAUCUGAUGUGUACAGAUGAACUCAGGAGCCUACUAGAGUUGCCACGGAACUUGUGCUUGAA